AUCAUUCAGUUGGGCACUCUAGCGAGACUGCCGGUAAUAAACCGGAGGAAGGUGGGGAGUGACGUCAAAUCAUCAUGCCCCUUAUGACCUGGGCUACACACGUGCUACAAUGGUUGGUACAACGAGUUGCGAGUCGGUGACGGCGAGCUAAUCUCUUAAAGCCAAUCUCAGUUCGGAUUGUAGGCUGCAACUCGCCUACAUGAAGUCGGAAUCGCUAGUAAUCGCGGAUCAGCACGCCGCGGUGAAUACGUUCCCGGGCCUU
rnacentral:rRNA from 1 species